GAUCACAAAAUCACACAUCCAAUACGGAAAAUUCUGAAUAAUAUUAGGCUUGAUAGAGAUCGAAAGACGAAGAAGAGGAGAGUGAUACCUUUGGACUGUGGAGAGACGGCGAGAUUGAGCGGCAUACGCCGGCGAACUAAGACGAGGGCGAGGUGGGCUGCGAAGUACUAAGGAUGAUCUGCGACGAUGCAUUCAUCGCUCGCAAACAUCAGUUGAUCAAGUGGUAUCAUCAAGCGAGCACAUAAUAGAAUCUUGGCAAAAAUUCACAACAUAUGGUCUGCCAAUAGUAGCUGCCCAGCUUCAAAUUCAAGCAUGAAAGGAAAGAAAUCAACAAACAAAUGUUUUCCAGGGCUCUGUGAAUAAGGUAUCAUAGAUGGCAAGCCACAUAAAACACUCAAAUAAUGCAUCUCUGUCAUCUUAGUAUCAAAUACAAAACGAUGUUCUUAUGGUUCUUAUGCAUUCAGCUUAUCUGGAGAAGAAGAUGCAGCGAGGAAAAACAUGCACGUAGAUGAGCAAAAGCUCAAAACAA